CACUUCCCUACGCGCACUGUCGCUGCCCCACGCUUCGCGCCUCCGAACCCUCAUCCAGUUCACCGAGGGAGACACCAGAUCGAUGUUGCCAUGAUGGUGCUCCAUAGAGCGAGAGGGCCUGGAAAGAUCAAAGGCAGCUGCGAAAUGUUUUGGACAAUCGGUGCGUCACAGGAUUUCGAACGGUAGAGACUCUGGACCUUGCCGAGCUGUAAAAGAAGCAUGGAAGACAGAGAAGUUUCAUUUUUAAAUUUCAUACACGUUCAAUCAUCCAAAACCUUAAAAGCAUACCUUACAUUCGUACUGUCGACUAGCAACAAGAUCUAAAAGUUUGUCUAUCGAUGACAUAAAUCACCUUACCUUGAUAUAAAAUUCCGUGAACCAUUCAUCUAAAAUUCUAAAUCAUAGCACAUGGCCCAAGUCUUAAAAGAAAACAUAAAAUGUAUUACAUACACAUAAGUAGGUAGGUACCUACCUCACACAUCCUAUAGCACAGUAACCUUGUAUGACGUUGUUAUGACGUCUAUUAAGUAAGUACGUCAAUUGAAAAAUUUAGUUGUUUUUAAAUAUCGUUAAUAUUUAUUAUACCUACAUUUGAAAAAUAUCUCAACAUGUUCUACUAAGUUUAUAAGCAAAUAGGAAUUUGCAAAUACUUAUAUGUAAUUUAGGUAUCAUUAAUUUUAAAACUUCUCUUACU